rnacentral:rRNA from 1 species
GAUGAACGCUGGCGGCGUGCCUAAUACAUGCAAGUAGAACGCUGAAGGAGGAGCUUGCUCUUCUGGAUGAGUUGCGAACGGGUGAGUAACGCGUAGGUAACCUGCCUGGUAGCGGGGGAUAACUAUUGGAAACGAUAGCUAAUACCGCAUGACAACAGUUAUUGCAUGAUAACUGUUUAAAAGGGGCAACUGCUCCACUACCAGAUGGACCUGCGUUGUAUUAGCUAGUUGGUGAGGUAACGGCUCACCAAGGCGACGGUACAUAGCCGAGCUGAGAGGGUGAUCGGCCAAACUGGGACUGAGACACGGCCCAGACUUCUACGGGAGGCAGCAGUAGGGGAACAUCGGCAAUGGACGGAAGGCUGACCGAGCAACGCCGCGUGAGUGAAGAAGGGUGUCGGGUCGGUAAGCUCUGUUGUAAGAGAAGGACGAGUGGGAGGGUGGAAAGUUCACGCUGUGACGGUAUCUUACCAGAAAGGGACGGCUAACUACGUG